rnacentral:lncRNA from 1 species
UUUUGCUCUAAACUUUUUCAAAUACAUAUCUAAAUGAUAUCUCUCUAGUUCCGUUUAGAUCGAGUCAUCAAAUUAAAGAGAGAAUCAAGAUUAAAGAUCAAAGAGCAAAAUAGAAAAGUUAUGUAACAACUUCCCAUCUUUCUAAUCUUGUAUUGUUGUUGAUUUGUGAGCACUAUUAUUAUGAUUAAGAGUUACUUGUGAUCGCUACCUUGCUUAGUGAAACUCUUGUACGGAUGAUCUCUUUUGUUUAAGAGAAAUGAAUAGUGAAGCAACUCUUGACUGGAGAAUCAGGGAGAUGAUGUAGAGUGGAUUAGUUAACAUCCACUUGAACAACUAUAAAUCGGUUUUGUCAUUCUCUCUUUAAACUCUUUACUUACUUGAAUUAUGUUGUUGUUGGGUUUCAAACAAGUGACAAACCUUCGUCAUUAGAUUUUUAACCAAGCAAGUUCUAAGGUAAGCAUAUUCACCAUCCUCUAGUUUUCAACAUGUCCUUUAAGAGUAAAAUUGUGAUGAGUCAUAGUACAUUGUACCAAAUUAUAAUAGAUAAUGCAAGUCUUAAUGGUCAUAUUUGGAGAUCUUUCGGUAAUCACCGACGAAUUUCAUUAAAUAAUAGUUUUUAAGUUACAUGUUAGUAAUUGUCGAUUGAUUAGAAAUAAAUAUAAUAAAAUAAUUUUUUGUAGGUUUUUUGGAUCCAUAGGUACGUGAUCCAUGGUAAUAUGUUUAUGUCAACUUUUUUCUUUUGGAUUUUAUUGAAUCCAUAGGUGACUUGACUGUACUACUAGUGGUUUCUUUUGUCGAUGCAAGUUUGUUUUCUAGUAGUGUUACAUUUCUAGAGUGUAUGUAGGAUUCAAGACCCAUGGAUUGUUUUAGGAGUGUUUUAUAGUUUUAACAUUAUAUGGAGUGAGUUGUUCUUGAUAAAAAGCAUUGAAACAUUAUGACAUAAAAUUAUAGGCUUAAGUUCGCCAUUGGAAUCUCAUUCAGAUAAGAACUCGGAUUUUGAUCGUCAACACUUUCGGACGUAAACUAAAGCGUUGGCCAAAAUGUGAACUUGAUUAAUCUCGAUCGUUACAUGUCCAAACCAUAGAUCGAAAAACUCUAAGGAUCACCGAUCUUAAUAGGUCAUAUGAAUAUUAAGAGUCAUAGAUCUAUCUUAAUUAAUCAUGAUAUGCUUUGACACAUUGCAUUAUUUCCUAAUGAUUUAAUUGAAUUGUACUAGGUUGAAGGGGUAUUGUCCCAAAAACCUCGCGCAAGCGCAUUGGACCACACCACAACCCUGUCCCAAAACACCUUGAGUAAAGACCCCGCGCGGCUGCGCAGCAGUUCUAAACUAAAAUAAAAAUAAACAAUCUUCGAUGAUCGUGCGCCGGAGAAAGGACGGAGACAACGUUCAACUAACACCCUUGCGCGGGCUCGCGCAAAGGUCAAGUUAGACUUGAAGACAAGAUCCUAAACAUCUCCGCGCGCUGGGAAUCAAGACUUAAACAGAAGUGUUUGUUCUGUUACAACAGAAUGGACACGUGGAAAGGGCAAAAAGGAUUACAGCUGUAGAUCUUCUAGAAGGUUAUCAAUGCUCAUCGUACACAGCCAUUUAGUUACAACUGAAAGGUGACGUGGCAUAAUCCUGGACGCUCAUCUAAGUCACGAUGAUGGCACAAACUUGGAGAAGGAUCAACACAAACCCACUUUCCACGUGGCACAUCCCCAGCCGUCGAUCACACUAACUAUCUGUGUGCAUAGAUGCGACGUUAGUAAUUGAUGGAAAAGGGCAUAACCACCAACGGGAAAUACUUUCCGUUACCCUCUCUGUCACACUAGUUUCCCUCCAAAAACUGCUAUAAAUAGAAGGUUGCAGGUAUGAUCUCACAAGUUACAUUCACUUCACUUUUACUACUUCUUCUUAUCCAUCGAGAUCUAUACUUAUUCUGACGCCGAAGGGUGGUCAUGGAGAGAACCCCAUUCUCCCCGUGGCGAGUCUAACGGCUUUCUGUUUUGCAGGGAUCACCAGAGAAGAUGCUCAGUUAAACUGUUGGUGCAUAUUCUGUGACAACAGCUUAGAUUUGGUCUUUGGAUAUCUUAUAAUUAGUUAAACGAUAAACAAUUAGCGGGUUUAGCUUUGUAUUAGUGAAAUAAUAGAGUUUGGGCUAAACAAAACCCAUAUUGGGUCUAGGGGGGACGAAUUGGGCCUUGCCCAUGUAGGGAACCCUAGUCCAACUUACCUUGUGUUAUAUAAACAAGGUUAGGCUUUAGGGUUUAGGUUAAGAUCUUGAUUGAUUGUAAUCAGUUUGAUAGUUAACCAAUAAAGAUCCGGUUU